rnacentral:rRNA from 1 species
AGACAGGUGCUGCAUGGCUGUCGUCAGCUCGUGUUGUGAAAUGUUGGGUUAAGUCCCGCAACGAGCGCAACCCUUAUCCUUUGUUGCCAGCGCGUGAUGGCGGGAACUCAAAGGAGACUGCCGGUGAUAAACCGGAGGAAGGUGGGGAUGACGUCAAGUCAUCAUGGCCCUUACGAGUAGGGCUACACACGUGCUACAAUGGCGUAUACAAAGGGAAGCGACCCCGCGAGGGCAAGCGGAACUCAUAAAGUACGUCGUAGUCCGGAUUGGAGUCUGCAACUCGACUCCAUGAAGUCGGAAUCGCUAGUAAUCGUAGAUCAGAAUGCUACGGUGAAUACGUUCCCGGGCCUUGUACACACCGCCCGUCACACCAUGGGAGUGGGUUGCAAAAGAAGUAGGUAGCUUAACCUCCGGGAGGGCGCUUACCACUUUGUGAUUCAUGACUGGGGUGAAGUCGUAACAAGGUAACCGUAGGGGAACCUGCG